rnacentral:lncRNA from 1 species
AAGUUGCAAUUUCUUUUGUUUCUUUACUUCAGGUUUAUUGUUAAUAUUGAAAAAAAUAUAAAAAUAAUUUAUUAUUUAAAAGUUAAUAUAAAAUAAUGUAGAUUAAAAUUUUCUUUGCAUAAGUUUUUCCCGCCAAUUUGUCUUUAUCUUCAAUAAUGAUGUCAAAUGAAGGUUCGACAAUCACUGACAAGGUCAUGACAGAAGGCGGGUGGCUUGUCAAAAUAAGGUCAUUACGAUCAUAGAUCCAGCCUUCAACCUGUAAUCGACACCGGAAUCUAACGAUUCAACUAAGCAGUGGUCUUUUAAGACUUUAAUAAAAGGUGUGCCUUCCUUGUAUUCAUGCAAUUUCACUUCAACAGAACAACCUAUCGUCCAGGAAGGAUUACUGAUCGGUUGUUGAUGGCAUAUGAGAUGAGUCAACGAUGUUUUACCAACACCUGCAUAGAAAACUGAUUUAUAGAAAGAUAUUAUAGCAUUUAUUAAACUAAAAUAAGCAAUAAUAAAAUGAAUAUACUUAUUUAAUUGUAAAAUAUACAACCAGAAUAUUGCAAAUUAUACUUUGUAUAAGAAAGUACAUUUGUUAAAAGUACUAUUACAUUUUUUAUGUUUACUAUACUGAAUUAAUAAAAGUAAAUACUG